GAUGAACGCUGGCGGCGUGCCUAAUACAUGCAAGUCGAGCGAACAGACGAGGAGCUUGCUCCUCUGACGUUAGCGGCGGACGGGUGAGUAACACGUGGAUAACCUACCUAUAAGACUGGGAUAACUUCGGGAAACCGGAGCUAAUACCGGAUAAUAUAUUGAACCGCAUGGUUCAAUAGUGAAAGACGGUUUUGCUGUCACUUAUAGAUGGAUCCGCGCCGCAUUAGCUAGUUGGUAAGGUAACGGCUUACCAAGGCGACGAUGCGUAGCCGACCUGAGAGGGUGAUCGGCCACACUGGAACUGAGACACGGUCCCGACUCCCAAGGGAGGCAGACGUAGGGAAUCUUCCGAAAUGGGCGAAAGCCUGAAGGAGCAAAGCCGCGUGAGUGAUGAAGGUCUUCGGAUCGUAAAACUCUGUUAUUAGGGAAGAACAAAUGUGUAAGUAACUAUGCACGUCUUGACGGUAACUAAUCAGAAAGCCACGGCUAACUACGUG
rnacentral:rRNA from 1 species